AUAUCGAAACGUCGGCCUCUAUACCUAAAACAUCUAUAAAACAUCGGCCUGGUGGAGGCCGAUAUAAUUUGGUCAGUGCUCUGUUCUCCAGCUCAUCAAUCGUCGGCCCUGAGUUGGUUCACGACCGCGGGCCGAUGCCGCGCUUCUCUGUGUGCGCGUGCCCAGUAUUCGUCUCUUUUAACCACCUAGAGAGAGAGAAGAGGAUAAUCCCAGCGACAUCUGUGGCUCUGAGGUAACGUUACGAUUUCACUUCAGCUCAAUUAGACAAAAAAUACUACUUUGUUAAUUCUGUGACACUGAAAAAGUACUAGUAAUACAGUCUGUGGGCAGCUGAAGAGUCUGGCUCAUUUUCAAAUAAUGUUACCGUUAACUUUUUGAGCCAACGGUCACGGUAGCGAUUUUUUUUAACAUUGAUGUUAACGCCUUAAUGCGUUUUCAGAAGUUUCUCGGAGGGAAAAUGUAAAAGCGGGUUAUUAAAGAGAAGUCCUGACUGCUUUUUCACCGUGUUUUUCACUCUUUUACAGGCUUUCAGAAAUAAUCCGGUGAAAUAAUAUGAUGUUUGUUUGUGUGAAUGCUGUGUGUGCUGUGAGUCCUGCGCGAGCGGGGAGCAGAGUUGCCAUGGAAACGGGGCAUCAACACAAAAACCGUUGCUGACAAGCAGUAAUCUCCGUCUCUCGCUGCGGUUUACACUGUUUUAGGAGGACAGAAAGAAACUCUACAGAACAGAAGUGAAGCUCCAAGAUUUCAACAUUUCUGAAGGGAGAUUCUGACUUAGAAAUACAGGUGACCUGAAGAAGCUCAUGAAAAACAUGAAUAUGCCUUUUUCAGAAUACAUUUCACCAAUUUUAAGAAGUCCCUGACAUCAUAACCUUGUUUCCUUCUAAUGAACCUGGAACUGCAGAGUAAAUAUUGUUGACUCUGUGUCAGAUUGCUUGGUUUGUUCCUGGACUCUUCAGUGAUGUCGAUCAGAGUCUGAGUGAACCUCCUGUCAGACAGGUUGGCCUGAUUGACGAUGUCAUCGUCCAUUGCCGAUGGCUGAUAGACAUCACGAUGCUGCGCCGGCAAACAGCGUCAUCAGCUCCAGUAUCUCGCCCGUGCAUCUGUUGUCAUGCGACAGAGAAGUCACGUUCUAUAGACAGUUUCUAUAGACAGUUGUGAACGUGCUGACAGCUGGUUGCCCAGGCUAUGGAUUAAAGGUAAUACUGUUGGCCAGCAGAGCCCUGCUCACCCUGACGGCCCACCGCUGCUGUCAGACAACAUCUCCAAGAUGCUAGAAACUGCAGGACCAGAUGGCCAUCCCAAGGUUUCUAGAGAUUACAGCAGCUCCAGACUGAAUCCAGACUCACUUGUGAAGACUUCAGACGACACCAACGCUCACAAAGACUACAGAUGACAACUGUACAUGAACACACAAAACAUUGGACACGCAAAACAAAUAUUAUCCUUAUUUUGCCUAUAAGGGUAAAUUUGAUGAUUUUCAAACUGCUUUAUUGUAACGUC